GGAUGUGCUCAUACCAGCACUAAAGCACCGGAUCCCAUCAGAACUCCGAAGUUAAGCGUGCUUGGGCGAGAGUAGUACUAGGAUGGGUGACCUCCUGGGAAGUCCUCGUGUUGCAUUCC
rnacentral:rRNA from 1 species